AGGCUGGAAAAAAAAGUAUCCAAUUGUGUGCAAUGUUACUUCUUAACAACACCCCAAAAUGCUAACAGUCACUACAGAGCUGCUCCCCCCCCACACCCUGCCAGUCGUUCCAGAAGACUGCAGACACAUGCUGUGUGACUCCUCAGUAAAAAUCAGCCUUGACGCCCGCCCCCCAACUUCAGGGCUUCACCUCUACAGCCAGACUAUUUUUCUGUGACUUCUGAAUGAUCAGUAAAUAAUCAUUUAGUAAAACUAUGAACGAAGAACACAAGUUCAUAAAAGUAUGUUACUAUCAUCCUUGGUGCAACCUUUUAAAGCCGGUUCUUCUCACAGUCCACCACACAUUGAACAGGACAUGGGGAAAAAAGGGGAAAAAAUGCCACUUGCAGAAAAUGGAAACAGGAUUAAAAAGUAGCAAAAGCUAGGAGAUGACAUCUGUGAAAAACUUCCUAGUAAAAGCGUCUUACUUUUUUAAUGCCCUCUUAUUUACUUCCAUAAUGAAGUGCUCUAAAAUUAAACUAUGCUACAGAGAAGUUUCAAAAAUAGGUAAUCCAGGCUCAUGACUACCUGUCAACAAAGAUUCUGAAAAACUAGCAACUAUCAAAAUUACCCACAAUUCUGAAACAAUUCUGCCUUAAUGUCAUUUCAUAAAACUGAAAACACUAUAGAGUAACUUUUGCUUAAAGACAUAAACGUUUGAUUUAGAAGUUGAUUUCUUCUUAUGCUAAUAAAAAUUCCAAUGGGAAGUUACUAUUAUAUCUAUUUUAAAGAUGAGAAAAUUGAGGCUUGGAAAGGUUAAUAAACUUGCCCAGAAUAACUACAAAUGCCCUUACACAGCCCCAACCUGGUGAUAGAUCUGCCACCUUUAACCUGGAUAUGUUUCCCUCUAGGGACGCUCUCCAAGGGGUACACCUGAAACUGCUGUCAAAUAACUCGCAUCUCUCUCUGUCCUCUUUCCUGACCUCGAUCCUUGAGAGUGGCCUGCACAGCAAGUUCAUUCACACCUCCUCUUCCAGUUACUCUCAUCUCGCGUUAUAAGGUACCUGUCAUUACUUCUGUGAGAACUGCGGAAACAAAUUUCCACACAGGAAGGGAACUAUACGGUCAUGUCUGCUGCUGCAUUCCAUCAACAGAAGGACCCUCAAAGUAACACUCUUGAAACACAGAAGUUCUUCAGCUUAAGUAAUGCCACUGAAUUCAAGUUUCUGGCUGACAAGAGGUGGUAUACCUUGGAAGGCAUAUGAAGACGGCAGAUCUUCCAACUUAGAUCCCCGAAUGACUGUAUGAAGUUGACACCCCCUGAUCUAAUGAUAAUGAGAUGGUUAAAUAUUCUUAAUUGUCUACUGAGGUAAGCAACAACCACUCCUGAUCCUUAAGUGAGAACUACAUAUAAAUUUCCUAUCUUUAUGCCACUGAAUUUUGAGGUUUUGUUUGUUGUAAAAGCUUAACUUACCCUAACAAACUGUGUAGCCAGCAGCUUAAGCAAAAUCUUACAGCAGGGGCACAAGCUGGGAUGUGUUUAACAAUACCAUUUUAUAUCUUAUGAUAUAAUUGAUCUUUCUAACACCUAUGCCCAUUCCCUAAUUCUAACCAUAAUCAUCCUGCCUAGGUUUACUGAAACAGCUUUCUAACUGACUGCCCUUGUUUCCAUACUUACAAGGUCAAUCCCCUUUUCAAAAUAAAGUCAAAGUGAUAGCAUUAAAUGUCAGUAUCUUAUACCUUUAAUACACACUGCUGCCUCCUACCUCCUAGAGAAUAUGCACACAAGGCCCAUAAAAAUAUCUAUUACUUGGUUCUUGCUCCAACCACAAUGAACCAUCAGUUCCCUUAGAAGGUUGAGCAAAUGUUCAUUUUCUACAGCUAGGAGAAAAAGCCAGGGAGAGAGCAGAGCUGGCAGGAAAACUUUCAAGAAGACAGUGGUGCUAUAAUUAUGUUUUAAAUGUUUGAGAUAGGCAUUUUUUAAAUAAACUUUU